UACCAGCUCUUCGAGUGGUGUGGAUGUUUAUUGGGCCUAAAGCAUCCGUAGCUGGCUGGGCAAGUCCCCUGUUAAAUCCACCGAUUUAAUCGUUGGAGUGCGGGGGAUACUGUUCGGCUAGGGGACGGGAGAGGCAGACGGUAUUUUCGGGGUAGGGGUGAAAUCCUAUAAUCCCGGGAAGACCACCAGUGGCGAAGGCUGUCUGCUAGAACGCGCCCGACGGUGAGGGAUGAAAGCUGGGGGAGCGAACCGGAUUAGAUACCCGGUGGUCCCAGCUGUAAACGAUGCAGGCUAGGUGUUUGGGCGGCCACGUGCCGCUCUAGUGCCGCAGGGAAGCCGUUAAGCCUGCCGCCUGGGGAGUACGGCCGCAAGGCUGAAACUUAAAGGAAUUGGCGGGGAGCACCACAAGGGGUGAAGCUUGCGGUUU
rnacentral:rRNA from 1 species